CUCAAAGUUGGAACCUGUUUGGCUUAGCUAAACCGGAUUGUAAACUGUAGAAGUGUUUUCCAGGCAAGCCGGGCUGAUAAGUCCUUUGGAACAGGGCAUCAUAGAGGGUGAGAAUCCCGUCUUCGGCCUGAGCAUUUGUCUUUUGUGAUACACUUUCAAAGAGUCAGGUUGUUUGGGAAUGCAGCCUAAAUUGGGUGGUAAAUCUCACCUAAAGCUAAAUAUUGGCGAGAAACCGAUAGCGAACAAGUACCGUGAGGGAAAGAUGAAAAGAACUUUGAAAAGAGAGUUAAACAGUAUGUGAAAUUGUUAAAAGGGAACCGUUUGGAGCCAGACUGGCUUGUCUGUAAUCAGUCUAAGUUUCGGCUUGGAUGCACUUGCGGGCUAUGCCUGCCAACGACAAUUUGGCUUGAGGGAAAAAACUAGGGGGAAAUGUGGCCCAUUCGUGGGUGUUAUAGUCCCUUAGAAAAUACCUUGGGCUGGAUUGAGGAACGCAGCGAAUGCUAUUUGGCGAGUUGGCUGGGAGAAUUUUCUGAGGUGCUCCGGUACUGAGGUUGAUCCUUCCAGUUAUACUUCUAUU
rnacentral:rRNA from 1 species